GACGAACGCUGGCGGCGUGCUUAACACAUGCAAGUCGAACGGAAAGGCCCUGCUUUUGUGGGGUGCUCGAGUGGCGAACGGGUGAGUAACACGUGAGUAACCUGCCCUUGACUUUGGGAUAACUUCAGGAAACUGGGGCUAAUACCGGAUAGGAGCUCCUGCUGCAUGGUGGGGGUUGGAAAGUUUCGGCGGUUGGGGAUGGACUCGCGGCUUAUCAGCUUGUUGGUGGGGUAGUGGCUUACCAAGGCUUUGACGGGUAGCCGGCCUGAGAGGGUGACCGGGCAAAAUGGGAAUGAGAAAAGGGCCAGACUCCUACGGGAGGCAGCAGUGGGGAAUAUUGCACAAUGGGCGGAAGCCUGAUGCAGCAACGCCGCGUGCGGGAUGACGGCCUUCGGGUUGUAAACCGCUUUCGCCUGUGACGAAGCGUGAGUGACGGUAAUGGGUAAAGAAGCACCGGCUAACUACGUG
rnacentral:rRNA from 1 species